GUAUAUUAAAGUUGUUGCGGUUAAAAAGCUCGUAGUUGGAUUUCUGUUGAGGACGGCCGGUCCGCACUAUGUACGUGUAUCUGGUUCGGCCUUGGCAUCCUCUUGAGGAACGUUCCUGCGCUUGAUUGCGUGGGGCGGUAUUCAAGACUUUUACUUUGAGGAAAUUAGAGUGUUCACGGCAGGCAAGCGCCUUGAAUACAUUAGCAUGGAAUAAUAAUAUAGGAUCUUGGUUCUAUUUGUUGGUUUCUAGGGCUAAGGUAAUGAUUAAUAGGGAUAAUUGGGGGCAUUUGUAUUAACGCGUCAGAGGUGGAAUUCUUGGAUUGCGUUACGACAAACUACUGCGAAAGCAUUUGCCAAGGAUGUUUUCAUUGAUCAAGAAUGAAAGUAUGGGGAUCGAAGAUGAUUAGAUACCGUCGUAGUCUAUACCAUAAACUAUGCCGACUAGGGAUUGGAGGUCGUUCUUUUUAUGACUCCUUCAGCACCUUAUGAGAAAUCAAAGUCUUUGGGUUCCGGGGGGAGUAUAGUCGCAAGGCUGAAACUUAAAGG
rnacentral:rRNA from 1 species